UACGUAGGGGGCAAGCGUUGUCCGGAUUUAUUGGGCGUAAAGAGCGUGUAGGCGGCCAUACAGGUCAGCUGUGAAAACUCGAGGCUCAACCUCGAGACGUCGGUUGAAACCGUAUGGCUAGAGUCCGGAAGAGGAGAGUGGAAUUCCCGGUGUAGCGGUGAAAUGCGCAGAUAUCGGGAAGAACACCCGUGGCGAAGGCGGCUCUCUGGGCCGAUACUGACGCUGAGGAGCGAAAGCGUGGGGAGCAAACAGG
rnacentral:rRNA from 1 species